UACGAACCGUACGAACGUUAUUCGGAAUCACUGGGCUUAAAGAGUCCGUAGGCGGCUUGAAAGGUGAGGUGUGAAAUCCCACGGCCUAACCGUGGAACUGCGCUUCAAACCACCAAGCUAGAGGAAGAUAGAGGAAAGCGGAACUGAUGGUGGAGCGGUGAAAUGCGUUGAUAUCAUCAGGAACACCGGUGGCGAAAGCGGCUUUCUGGGUCUUUUCUGACGCUGAGGGACGAAAGCUAGGGGAGCGAACGGG
rnacentral:rRNA from 1 species